rnacentral:lncRNA from 13 species
UGAGAAAUAAUCAAUAUUUAAAUAAUCCAAUAGGAUUUUACAUUUCAUAUUAUCUAAAAGAUCUGGUUUUAAAUCCUGGUAAGUAAAUUUGCAUUUACUUGAUUGUGAGUUCUCUGCAAGCUGCAAUAAAUAGGCCCUAAAGUACCAGUCUACAGGAUUGCAGAAGAUGCCCCUGGUGUAGGUAUCAGGACUGGUUCACUGUUGUGUUGAGAACAGAUUCUGGAUGCCAUGGUGGAAGCAGGAAGACCAAUUUCAAAGAUAUUGGAAUAAUUCAGGGCCUGCUUUGGCUUCCAGCCAGAAACUGUGCUUCCCAUCCUGUCAGAAUUGUCACCCUGCAGGCUGCAACCCUUUAUUAGAAAUGAAGCUCUCCUUUCCAAAUUUAAAAAUAAAAAUAAACCAGGUCUGGGACUUUCUCAAGCUAGUGUAAUGAUGUAAGGGAGGUGCAAGGGAGUAAAGUAUAUGGAAGGAAUAAUUUAAAAGUUUAACCAUAGAGUGCAAGUGUACUAAAGAAGAAGAUGAAGCCAUGACAGAAGGGAAGAGUUCGGUAUAGGUGUUCUGAUUUAUGAGAUGGAAGUACCUGUGGGACUGAAGGAUUGUUGGAGCCAGUGACCUAAAGAGAAUGGACUGAGAAUAUAGGAAGCAGUGGUCAUAAAACAGAAAACUUGGAAUAGAGGUUAUGGAAAGGUUGAAAUUAUUGAAAAAAUAAUUAUAAAGUUUAGUGAAUGACCAAGAAGUGAGUGACUGAAGUAAGGUAGAGAACAAGGUCAUCGGAAGAGAGGAGUUCAAGGAACCAAGAGGCCAGAAUAUUGGAGGGAUCAUCUUCAUAUAUACUGAAGUUACUAAGAAGCAAGAUGGAAAUAGCGCCGAAGAGAAGGACCUGAUCCAACAGGUGAGAUCUUUAGACAAAAGAGGGAGAGUUGGUAGUUGAUUGGUAUAGUUUGAUGACAUGAAAUUCAAAGCUGAUUUUUUCUUUUUUUUUUUUUGCCAAUCAGUUUGAGCUUAUGAGGUUGCUCAGGUUAGCCUU